rnacentral:rRNA from 1 species
AGCUCCAAUAGCGUAUAUUAAAGUUGUUGCGGUUAAAAAGCUCGUAGUUGGAUUUCUGUCGAAAACGGCCGGUCCGCUCUAUGAGCGUGCAUCUGGUUCGGUUUUGGCAUCCUUAUGAAGAACGUAACUGCGCUUGAUUGCGUGGUGCGGUAUUCAUAACUUUUACUUGAGGAAAUUAGAGUGUUCACGGCAGGCAAGCGCCUUGAAUAUAUUAGCAUGGAAUAAUAAUAUAGGACAUGGGUUCUAUUUUGUUGGUUUCUAGAACUUAUGUAAUGAUUAAUAGGGAUAAUUGGGGGCAUUCGUAUUAACGCGUCAGAGGUGGAAUUCUUGGAUUGCGUUACGACGAACUACUGCGAAAGCAUUUGCCAAGGAUGUUUUCA